rnacentral:rRNA from 1 species
AUUGAACGCUGGCGGCAUGCUUUACACAUGCAAGUCGAACGAGUGGCGAACGGGUGAGUAAUAUAUCGGAACGUACCGAGUAAUGGGGGAUAACCAAUCGAAAGAUUGGCUAAUACCGCAUAUUAAUCGAGCGGCCGUUAACGGAUUAGAUAGUUGGUGGGGUAAAGGCCUACAAAGGCGACGAUCAGUAGCGGGUCUGAGAGGACGAGCCGCCACCCUGGGACUGAGACAGGGCCCAGACGCCUACGGUAGGCGGCAGGGGGGAAUUUUGGACAAUGGGGGAAACCCUGAGCCAGCAAUGCGGCGUGUAUGAAGAAGGCCUUCGGGUUGUAAAGUAUUUUUGUUAGGGAGACGGUACCUAAAGAAUAAGCACCGGCUAACUACGUGCCAGCAGCCGCGGUAAUAC